UACUAGCCUUACAAAUAGUUUGCGUUAGGGAUUGCAAUGACAUCCUUUUUGUUUUUUACAAAAAGAUAUAAUGGAAAGCCCGACCUGCA
rfam:Polaribacter sp. KT25b genome assembly, chromosome: I